rnacentral:rRNA from 1 species
UACGUAGGGGGCGAGCGUUGUCCGGAGUUACUGGGCGUAAAGGGCGCGUAGGCGGCCUUUCAAGUGACGGGUGAAAGCCCUCGGCUUAACCGAGGAACUGCCUGUCAGACUGGAAGGCUUGAGACCGGGAGAGGUGAGUGGAAUUCCCAGUGUAGCGGUGAAAUGCGUAGAUAUCAGGAGGAACACCGGUGGCGAAGGCGGAUCUCUGGGCCGAUACUGACGCUGAGGAGCGAAAGCGUGGGGAGCGAACAGG